AUUGAACGCUGGCGGCAUGCCUUACACAUGCAAGUCGAACGGCAGCACGGGUGCUUGCACCUGGUGGCGAGUGGCGAACGGGGGAGUAAUACAUCGGAACAUGUCCUGUAGUGGGGGAUAGCCCGGCGAAAGCCGGAUUAAUACCGCAUACGAUCUACGGAUGAAAGCGGGGGACCUUCGUGCCUCGCGCUAUAGGGUUGGCCGAUGGCGGAUUAGCUAGUUGGUGGGGUAAAGGCCUACCAAGGCGACGACCAGUAGCUGGUCUGAGAGGACGACCAGCCAAACUGGGACUGAGGAACGGCCCCGACUCCUACGGGAGGCAGCAGUGGGGAAUUUUGGACAAUGGGCGAAAGCCUGAUCCAGCAAAGACGCGUGUGUGAAGAAGGCCUUCGGGUUGGAAAACACUUUUGUCCGGAAAGAAAUCCUUGGCCCUAAUACGGUCGGGGGAUGACGGUACCGGAAGAAUAAGCACCGGCUAACUACGUG
rnacentral:rRNA from 1 species